UUCUCAUCAAAGAGUGUUCUAUAGGGAAGAGAUAAAACCUAAACAGUCCCGGAAGCUGAGACAAGAAACUGAAAAAAAAAGGAAAGUGAGCAACAAGAUAAUGUAAGUCACAACUGAGCCAAUUAAGGAGCAGGAGAUGCAGCAGCAUGUCCCAAACAAAACUGAUUGGAGGUCAAGUGUGGACAACCAGAGCAAGUUCUUGCACAGCUAAUGUAUCCCCAGGUGUGAACUGAGUAACAUGAAGAAAGGCAUCCUCCUGCCACCUCCUGAAUCAGUAGAAAAAGACAAAAGCUUUUGAUGGGAUUAUGCUGGAGUCCAUGUCAUGGAACCAAACUGGAAAUUUUCUGGCAUGAUUUUAGGCGUUUUGCAUGAACUCUAAUUCAUUGAAAUGUAACAACCUUAUAAGGUCCCUGCAGGACCAUGUCACCCAAAAUAAUGCAUCAGAUAUAAGGACUUGUCUUUUACUCAUUUACUUCUUGGACCUACUUAGAAAACUGUGGCAGCACUGUUUUGUUAUUAUUGUCUUAAGUGCAUGAUCCAACUUGGAAAGGUUCCAGGUGUGUCUUAGUUUUGAAGCUUCACAGCAGCUGAGUAGUAGUGUGUGGUGAGCAUAACAAAUACCUAAAACUUUCAGGAAGGUGAAUCCUUCUCUCUGACCGUGGGAACUAUGGUCUGAAGAUGAAUGCCAAUCGCAAGAUAAUUCAAAUAUUGAAAUUAUGAAACAAUGACUUCCAAAUCAGCUAUGAUAAUGUGAUCUACAAGCUAAGGUCUAAUAUCCUCAAAACAAAUGGAAAGACAGAACAUCUUAGCAGGGAAAUAAAAGAUUCAACUGGCUCAUGGUUUGUACCGGGGGAACCAAGCCCAUGGUUGGGAUCCAGGGGUCCCUCCAGUCUCCUGUUCCAUGGUCGCACACACCUUGAGGGCACCCACACGGUUUGAUCGUCUCCUUAUAUUGCUGCUGGCAGACUCGUGACGGGGUUUCUCAUUCAUCUGAAGAGAAAGUCAGAGAGAAUCAAAGCAUGUGAAGAGAGACCUCACGCAAGGAGGUCUAGGAGCCUAGAGUGAUCUUCAGCCAACAGUCAAAAAGAUAACUGGGACAACCACAAGGAACUGACUUCUAUAAGAGAAAUGAGCCUGGAAAAGGACUCCAAGCUUCAGAUGAAAAUGUAGUUGGCUGACACUUUGAUUUUAGUCUUGUGAAACCCUAAGCAGAGAAUCCAAGUAAGUCCCCCUGAACUUCUCACCUAAAGAACAAUGAGUUAAUAAAUAAG
rnacentral:lncRNA from 1 species